rnacentral:lncRNA from 1 species
CCGCUGUUCAAAUAAGAUUUAUUCAAAUGAUAACUAAUGUUUCACCUGGAUUCAAUCUCUUGAAUGUAUACAAACAAUAUCAAUAUUUAAAGUCAGUAUUAUGUGUAUUAUGUUAUUUCUCCGAGAAAUGCAAUUCUUGAUAGAAGCGCAUCUUGUGUUAUUGACUAUGCAUGAAAUGGAAAAUAUAAAAUUAAAAACCCUGUCCAUCUUUUCAUUCCAGUAAUUAAUUACCUGUAGUAGACUUAAUAUUAUGUGUUUUGCUAACGAACAGGAAAAUACACUUACCGUAUUCUUAAGACACCGUUACUUGAAACUUUACAAAUAGAUGAAAUCUACUUUCACUUCUUUGGCGGUUUUUACGUGAUUAACCGGAAAAUGUAACUCAUAUUUUCAAA